CCUACGGGUGGCAGCAGUGGGGAAUAUUGGACAAUGGGCGAAAGCCUGAUCCAGCCAUGCCGCGUGUGUGAAGAAGGCCUUCGGGUUGUAAAGCACUUUCAGUGGGGAAGAAAGCCUUGGGGCUAAUACCCUCGAGGAAGGACAUCACCCACAGAAGAAGCACCGGCUAACUCCGUGCCAGCAGCCGCGGUAAUACGGAGGGUGCGAGCGUUAAUCGGAAGUACUGGGCGUAAAGCGCGCGUAGGCGGUCUGAUAAGCCGGUUGUGAAAGCCCCGGGCUCAACCUGGGAACGGCAUCCGGAACUGUCAGGCUAGAGUGCAGGAGAGGAAGGUAGAAUUCCCGGUGUAGCGGUGAAAUGCGUAGAGAUCGGGAGGAAUACCAGGGGCGAAGGCGGCCUUCUGGACUGACACUGACGCUGAGGUGCGAAAGCGUGGGUAGCAAACAGGAUUAGAUACCCUGGUAGUC
rnacentral:rRNA from 1 species